AACGCUGGCGGCGUGCUUAACACAUGCAAGUCGAACGGAAAGGCCCUGCUUUUGUGGGGUGCUCGAGUGGCGAACGGGUGAGUAACACGUGAGUAACCUGCCCUUGACUUUGGGAUAACUUCAGGAAACUGGGGCUAAUACCGGAUAGGAGCUCCUGCUGCAUGGUGGGGGUUGGAAAGUUUCGGCGGUUGGGGAUGGACUCGCGGCUUAUCAGCUUGUUGGUGGGGUAGUGGCUUACCAAGGCGUUGACGGGUAGCCGGCCUGAGAGGGUGACCGGCCACAUUGGGACUGAGAUACGGCCCAGACUCCUACGGGAGGCAGCAGUGGGGAAUAUUGCACAAUGGGCGGAAGCCUGAUGCAGCAACGCCGCGUGCGGGAUGACGGCCUUCGGGUUGUAAACCGCUUUCGCCUGUGACGAAGCGUGAGUGACGGUAAUGGGUAAAGAAGCACCGGCUAACUACGUG
rnacentral:rRNA from 1 species